UUUAGAACGUUGAGAGUAAAGGAUUUAUUCGCUUCGAGAGGAGCCUGCGUCCCAUCAGCUAGUUGGUAAGGUAAUGGCCUACCAAGGCAAUGACGGGUAGGGGACCUGAGAGGGUGGCCCCCCACAAUGGAACUGAAACACGGUCCAUACACCUACGGGUGGCAGCAGUAGGGAAUAUUAGAAAUGGACGAAAGUCUGAUCUAGCGACACCGCGUGUGCGAUGAAGGCCUUCGGGUUGUAAAGCACUUUUUGGAAGGAAUAGGAAGGAAGGUACUUCCAGAAUAAGUCUCGGCUAACUACGUGCCAGCAGCCGCGGUAACACGUAGGAGGCAAACGUUAUCCGGAUUUACUGGGCGUAAAGCGCGUGUAGGUGGUUCUGUAAGUAGGGCGUGAAAGCUCCCGGCUCAACUGGGAGAGGCCGUUCUAAACUGCAGAGCUAGAGGAUGGUAGAGGGAGGUGGAAUUCCAGGUGUAGCGGUGGAAUGCGCAGAUAUCUGGAGGAACACCAGUGGCGAAGGCGGCCUCCUGGACCAUUCCUGACACUCAGACGCGAAAGCUAGGGUAGCAAACGGG
rnacentral:rRNA from 1 species